rnacentral:rRNA from 1 species
UACGGAGGGUGCAAGCAUUAAUCGGAUUUAUUGGGCGUAAAGGGCGCGUAGGCGGCUAGGCAAGUCUUAGGUGAAAUUCCAAAGCUCAACUUUGGAGCGGCCUUAGAAACUAUCUAGCUGGAGGAUAGACGGAGAAAAUGGAAUUCCACAUGUAGCGGUGAAAUGCGUGGAUAUGUGGAAGAACACCAGUGGCGAAAGCGGUUUUCUAGUUUAUAACUGACGCUGAUGCGCGAGAGCAAGGGGAGCAAAC